GGAAGCCUGCUGCGCCCGUGAUCACCUGGUGGAAGUUUCGAACCAACGCCAAAGAUAAGGGAGCCGGAGGGGGUCGGGGACGCCAGGCCUGGAGACCAGGAAGGCGGAACCGGCUCCAAUGGCACCCACCUGCCGGGGGCAGGUUUCAAACUUUCCAGGGCACGGCGAUGGCGGGUUUAGC
rnacentral:other from 1 species